AUUGAACGCUGGCGGCAUGCCUUACACAUGCAAGUCGAACGGCAGCACGGGAGCAAUCCUGGUGGCGAGUGGCGAACGGGUGAGUAAAGUAUCGGAACGUGCCCAGUCGUGGGGGAUAACGUAGCGAAAGUUACGCUAAUACCGCAUACGAUCUAUGGAUGAAAGCGGGGGAUCGCAAGACCUCGCGCGAUUGGAGCGGCCGAUAUCAGAUUAGGUAGUUGGUGGGGUAAAGGCUCACCAAGCCGACGAUAUGUAGCUGGUCUGAGAGGACGCCCAGCCACACUGGGACGGAGACACGGCCCAGACUCCUACGGGAGGCAGCAGUGGGGAAUUUUGGACAAUGGGCGAAAGCCUGAUCCAGCCAUGCCGCGUGCAGGAUGAAGGCCUUCGGGUUGUAAACUGCUUUUGUACGGAACGAAAAGGUUUGGCCUAAUAAGCUGAGCUCAUGACGGUACCGUAAGAAUAAGCACCGGCUAACUACGUGCCAGCCGCCGCGGUAACAC
rnacentral:rRNA from 1 species